rnacentral:rRNA from 1 species
AGUGAACGCUGGCGGUAGGCCUAACACAUGCAAGUCGAACGGCAGCACAGAGGAGCUUGCUCCGUGGGUGGCGAGUGGCGGACGGGUGAGGAAUACAUCGGAAUCUACUCUGUCGUGAGGGAUAACGUAGGGAAACUUACGCUAAUACCGCAUACGACCUACGGGUGAAAGCAGGGGACCUUCUGGCCUUGCGCGAUUGAAUGAGCCGAUGUCGGAUUAGCUAGUUGGCGGGGUAAAGGCCCACCAACGCGACGAUCCGUAGCUGGUCUGAGAGGAUGAUCAGCCAAACUGGAACUGAGACACGGUCCAGACUCCUACGGGAGGCAGCAGUGGGGAAUAUUGGACAAUGGGCGCAAGCCUGAUCCAGCCAUACCGCGUGGGUGAAGAAGGCCUUCGGGUUGUAAAGCCCUUUUGUUGGGAAAGAAAUCCAGCUGGCUAAUACCCGGUUGGGAUGACGGUACCCAAAGAAUAAGCACCGGCUAACUUCGUGCCAGCAGCCGCCGUAA